UCUGAUGCCUUACAUGAACUCUUCGCAACCUUCCUCGUCCUUACAUAACUUUCGUCCUCCCUACUUGGAUCCUCAACCUUCGAGUUUCGCCAACUCUGUCCAAGAUAUUAACAGUCUCAACAACUUGUUUCUUUAUCCGAGCCAACAGAAUCAUCAUCAUCAUCAUCAUCAACUGAGAGGAGACUUCCACAAUGAACAAGGACUGUUCAGACCGGAACCGUUGUCUUUGUCUCUUUCUUCACAACCUAUUGAGGUCCAUAACCUGCAG
rnacentral:lncRNA from 1 species